rnacentral:rRNA from 1 species
AGCGAACGCUGGCGGCAGGCCUAACACAUGCAAGUCGAACGAUCCUUCGGGAUAGUGGCGGACGGGUGAGUAACACGUGGGAACGUGCCCUUUGGUUCGGAACAACUCAGGGAAACUUGAGCUAAUACCGGAUGUGCCCUUCGGGGGAAAGAUUUAUCGCCAUUGGAGCGGCCCGCGUCUGAUUAGCUAGUUGGUGAGGUAACGGCUCACCAAGGCGACGAUCAGUAGCUGGUCUGAGAGGAUGAUCAGCCACACUGGGACUGAGACACGGCCCAGACCCCUACGGGAGGCAGCAGUGGGGAAUCUUGCGCAAUGGGCGAAGGCCUGACGCAGCCAUGCCGCGUGAAUGAUGAAGGUCUUAGGAUUGUAAAAUUCUUUCACCGGGGACGAUAAUGACGGUACCCGGAGAAGAAGCCCCGGCUAACUUCGUGCCAGCCGCCGCCGUAAAAC